CAGAAAUCAGUAAGAAAAAGUUAACUAUCUCCAACUGCAUGCAAGAGCAACCUGGAGAGACUUUGACAGCUCAGGUCAGCAUAAUACCUGCAGCUGCCACUCGCCUUUCCUAUAUCU
ensembl:snoRNA small nucleolar RNA SNORA44